UGUAGGAGUGAGCCUGCUCGCGAUAGCGGUCUGUCAGUUACCAAUAAUGCUUUCUGAUACACCGCAAUCGCGAGCAGGCUCACUCCUACA
rnacentral:misc_RNA from 1 species